rnacentral:rRNA from 1 species
UACGAAGGUGGCUAGCGUUGUUCGGAAUUACUGGGCGUAAAGCGCACGUAGGCGGACGUGUAAGUCAGGGGUGAAAUCCCGGGGCUCAACCCCGGAACUGCCUUUGAUACUGCACAUCUUGAGUCCGGAAGAGGUGAGUGGAAUUCCUAGUGUAGAGGUGAAAUUCGUAGAUAUUAGGAGGAACACCAGUGGCGAAGGCGGCUCACUGGUCCGGUACUGACGCUGAGGUGCGAAAGCGUGGGGAGCAAACAGG